GUACGUGGCUUGUGAAGUGUUUUGAGAUGGGGCCUUCACCCGCCGUGCCGCCGCGGUAGCGCAGCAGCCGCGGGGAGCGCGGCGCUGGCCCGGGCAAACCCGGAGCGGUGCGGGAGCGAGAGGGAACCGGGGACUGGCUCCUCCGCAGUUCAGUGAACGGCACGGGUCUGAGGCUUUGCCCCAGCCUGCUUCGGAAAACCCGGGCGUGUUACAGAGCAUACGGUCAUUUUGCAUAUGAAUUGUGAUAUUCAAUCGACAAGACGUUAGGUAUUGGCUGAGUGUAUCAGCUGGAAGUGACUCAAACUCCUUUUUGCCAUACUUGGAGAAAGAAAAGUGACGGGACCAGACUCUCAGUUCCCGAAAGUUUAGCCUGCUUCAGGAUGAGGAAAAACAAUUAACUUCACAGAACAGAGAUCUUUGGAACCAACAAUGGGGAAAGAGUAUGAAAGCUGACCGCAAUCUCCCCAGUAAGGUUAUGUAUGGAUUUCUGUGAUCAAAUGGCCUCUCUCUCAGAUUCUCUCAGAUGGAAAACGAGCAGUUCACAAUCACCACGGAGAUCUAGGUUGUUUUCUAUGUCUAUUUGAAGGUGCAAUCCAGUUUGAAUAUUACAACUUUCUUGGUCUUCAUAACUCUGUGACAAUGAGCCUCCAAUCAGUGACUGGAAAGUAUUCCCUUUAUACAUUUUUUUAAUUUUCCAUCUUGUAAGUUAAUUGAUUACCUUACUAUGAAUGCCAGAAUCUAAUACUAGUACAUUUUUCCAAUGGUGGAAAUUACCUAACUUGUGCUUGGCAAUGAGGUUCUUUUACAGAAGAACGGGAACAUACUCAUAUAACAGAAAGUCUUACAGAAGUGGGUGAGCCUUUCAGCUUCCAAAUAAUGGUUCUGUCUGUUUGUCCAAGGCAGUAGUGUUUACGAUAUGACACAGGAUUAGAAACUGCCUUCAACUCUAUAAACGUGUACUUGCCAAUAAAACCUAUAAACUGUAUAUUUGGUGUCACUGAGGUCCAGAUUCUUAGCUAGUGUAAGUCGGUGUAGCUGCUCUGACUUCAGUGGAGUCAUGCUGAUUUACACAGCUGAAGACCUGGGCCUUCGCUGUUGGAUCUGGGAGUUUUAACCAAAAAAAGAGAAAAUUUGGUUAAGUUUGUCUUCUCCUUCAGUAAGUCAUGGCUGCCAGAAAUUGUGUUAUGCUUGAGUCAUUGUUACGAUAAAAUUACAAAACAAAAAUUCAGUAAGCUAUUAAAGAAAAUCCAUGGCUGUUACAUUUUAAGUCAAAUAAAAUAAAUAUCCAUGUUGAUGGAUCCACAUGCAGAAUCACAUUAGCUUCAGUGGUGUCUAAGAAAUGAAGUAGUGGUGUCUAAAAUGUUUACUGAAACCUUAACCAUAAUUUUUAUUUCCCCUUCCCACCUGGCUAAAUCCCUGGAUAGAUCAGAUGCUGCAGUGUUGAAUCCCUGAGGAAUACAUAGAAGCAAUUUGUAAUUUUUACAUAGUAACACAGGUAAAAUUUAGAAGAAAGUUUGUCAAACAUAUUGGGAUUUUCCAGUGGAAAGUGAUAGGUAAGAUAAAAGCAUUUCUUGGCUAUUUAGCGCACAAAUAAAUCACAAAGCCACAGACCUUGGGGAGAUGCAUAUUCAAAUGUAUUAUGUUAUCCACUGUAUCACACCUGGUGAUUCAGCUGGACAGCUAUUCAAACUGCACAGUUCAGAUCUUCUUACCUGGAUUCAACAAAAUGUACACCUUUGUAGAAAGGCAGCCUGAGGUUCAUGAUUACUCAAACACCAUUUACUGUUUACAUUUAGUCCUGGUACAAGACACAAAGGUAUAUACGUUACAUGUAGGGUCUGCCCAGAGACCAACAUAAGUCUUUGCAAAUGUUCUGAAUUCCACUGUUACUCGAUAAAUUUCGUUCAAUAGUUUUAUUCAGUCUUUCCAUAUAAGCUUGACCAAGUUUCCUCAUCUGUUGUUCCAGCCUUUCAGCUAGAAGUAAAAUGAAGAUAAUACAGCGUUCAUUCUCCUAGCAUCCUUUCUCUUAGCUUGUGUCACAGCUGGUUAGAGUGCAACUCUUCCAAACAAGAAUUGUCUCUCACCAUGUCUUUGCACGUUGCCUGGUAUAAUGGAGCCUAUGCCUGUGCUGCAGUGCAAAUGAAUAAUAAUUUAUGAUGAUGUUGGAAGAGUGUUGACAGAAACAGAGCUAAUGGCACUAGCAGGGAAUAACUGCACUUAUAGUAAAAAUAACAAUUGUCGGUCACAAACAGCACUUAAUUUCCAGUGUUUAAUCUUUAUUAGCUGGAACUCCCAAUACAAAGAACAUGAUUUUCAGUGGCAAUUUUGGUAGAAUAAGGAUUGCAGAAUUUUUCUGAUUUCAGCAGACUUUGGAGCCAGCUUUAGAGAAAAAAAAUCCACAGAACAAGUGAAAUAAAUAUUGUUGGCAUUUUACAAUAAAAUGGGAGUGCAUUUUAUAGGUGGCUAGCAGCUUGUAAUUACCCUUAGUAAAACUAAUCCUUUCCCUGUGCUUAUUAAAAUGUUUCAUGUAUCAGCAAGCCAUGAAAAGGGCUCACCACCAAUCUCUUAACUUGCACUAAAACUGAGAAACGUCCACUUGAGUCAUAGUUCCCAGUGCCAGUCCUGUUUCUCUGCCUGCUAUUGGAAUUCAAAGCCUCUGAGGGGAUUAAAACUAACACAUUAGUUCCUAAUUAAAUCCAAAAGGGAUGUGAAAUGUAACCAAAUAACUUUAUAGUAUUUAUUGGGAAUAUGGUCUCAGGAGGAUAAGGAAGGAGCAAUGGCUUUCAAUUAAUGAUUUUCCUUCUUCUAACACACAGAAAAUGUCUGCAGUGUUCUUUUGACCCCUUUUAAUUUCUUCAGGGGGAGCAUUUGACUCUUCAAGCUUCCUCCUGCAAAUGUAUUUUUAAAAGUUGCUGCAGGUUUGUAAUAAUUUAGUAGGAUAAAGAAGUACAGUCAUUACUAUUGCAGUCCUUUUUUCUUCAAUUAGUAUUUCUAAUCACAUUAGACAUGUUUUCAGUAUCCAGAGAGGAUGCCUGAUCCCUACAGCUAUCGUGAACCAUUAACUUUAAUUAAAAUUUACAAGUCUAAUGUUGUUACAUCUGCUAAAAGCAUUAACUGCCAUGUUAAUUACCAAAAUGUUAAUGUUGCGUUAAAAUAUGAAUGUUCCCUUUUGACAGUUCAUCUGUGGUUUAAUUAUUUAUUUUUGGUAUAAUAUCUCCUAAAAAAAAAAAAAAAAAGAAAAAGGCAUAAAAGCUUAAAUGCUGACUGAAAUAAUGAGACAUAAUGGGAAAACUUAAUCUAAAUAGAAAACUUAAUACUUUAUAAUAUCAAUUGUUAGCAGAAACUCAUUUGUAUUCUUUGCUGCAUCUAAAAUAAAUACGUGGUGCUUGUGUCUUGGCUAA